AAGUCGUAACAAGGUUUCCGUGGCCCUUCGAAGCCUUUGGCACAACGACUCGAAAAAACUGUGUGCAGUCCUUUAAUCGUCACGGAUAAGGGCUACGUCACUAAAGUGCUGGGAUACAGAGUUCUGUAAAUCAGCAGCCCAGCAGCACAGACCGUCCUGUUGGGUUCACAGAUUAGCUAGUGGCGGUCAGUGAGAAGAUACCAAGAUGGAGGGCCGGAGGUCUUCGAAGUGGUAUCGUCAUUGGUUAAGAUAUAAUCGGUCUCUAUUUCAUCCGUGGAGAUGACACGUUCCGUAGGUGAACCUGCGGAAGGAUCAUUAUUGAGUUGGGGUCCUCUGGGCCCCGCUUCCAACCCUUGCUUAUCUUACCAUGUUGCUUCGGCGGGUCCGUCUUUAACCGGACCGCCGGGGACCUGCGUCCCUGGCCCGUGCCCGUCAGUCGCCCCGACAAAUACUCUGCACCGUGCCGUCUAAGUAUCUAAAGAAUAACUAAAACUUUCAACAACGGAUCUCUUGGUUCUGGCAUCGAUGAAGAACGCAGCGAAAUGCGAUAAGUAAUGCGAAUUGCAGAAUUCCGUGAGUCAUCGAAUCUUUGAACGCACAUCGCGCCCUCUGGUAUUCCGGANGGCAUGCCUGUUCGAGCGUCAUNAUCAACCCUCAAGCUCGGCUUGCUGUUGGGUCGCACCGCGGAAGCGACGGUGGGUCCGAAAAGAAUAAUGGCAGAGUCGGUGGGANCUGGGUGCNNCGAGCUUCUCGGCACGCGNCCAGAUGNUGUUNCGGCUCGGUCUGAACCAUCGAUUUCNUUCUGGUUGACNUCGGAUCAGGUAGGGAUACCCGCUGAACUUAAGCAUAUCAAUAAGCGGAGGAAAAGGNACCAACAGGGAUUGCCUCAGUAACGGCGAGUGAAGCGNCAACAGCUCAAAUUUGAAAUCUGACCCCGUCCGGGGUCCGAGUUGUAAUUUGUAGAGGAUGCUUCGGGCAAGGCCGUGGUCUAAUUCGCUUGGAACAGCGGGUCACAGAGGGUGAGAAUCCCGUCUAGGAUCGCAGGCCGCGUUCGUGUGAAGCUCCUUCGACGAGUCGAGUUGUUUGGGAAUGCAGCUCUAAAUGGGUGGUAAAUUUCAUCUAAAGCUAAAUAUGGGCCAGAGACCGAUAGCGCACAAGUAGAGUGAUCGAAAGAUGAAAAGCACUUUGAAAAGAGAGUUAAACAGUAUGUGAAAUUGUUGAAAGGGAAGCGCUUGCAACCAGACUUGUGACUGACGGUUCCCCCGGCCUCCUGGCCGGGCUACUCCGUCACGUCCAGGCCAACAUCGGUUUGGGUGGUCGGUGAAAGGCCCCGGGAACGUAUCAACCUUCGGGUUGACUUAUAGCCCGGGGUGCAAUGCGGCCCACCCGGACCGAGGAACGCGCUCCGGCUCGGAUGUUGGCGUAAUGGUUGCAAGCGGCC
rnacentral:rRNA from 1 species